UUGUUUGAGCUUUAAUAUGUAUAGUAAUGCAAUCAUGGCGGGGAAAGUGAAUACCUCAAAUGCUGCAACAAAUACUCUCACAUGGAAGUAUGAGUGAUGCAGAAUUUUUUCAUAGACAAGUUCAUCUUGUGGUUUCUGAAGGAAUUUUGACCAUGGAUCUAUUUCCUUACCAUUCUUUAGGGUUCCAGGUUUCAAUCUAAUGGUAAAUAGGACAGAGCCAAUCAGCUUGGUUGGAUAUACAAAUUAAAUUUUUUGAAGCUGCUACAAACAGAAUCACAUUUCUUAUCACACAAAUAUAACAAAAGCUGCCCAUUACAGACGUAGAGUGCAGAGUACACUGUUAAAGCUACAGGAGGGACAGCCCUAGAGCAAGGUUUCAAGUGCAGAGCACGACAGGAAUGUAGGGUAAUGCACUCUUGGUGAUACAACUUUGGAGAUAACCGUCACAAUGACUUUGAAGGAAAUGGUCAUAAGAACACUCGUCAGAAAGUACAAGGAACUGCCUAAGUGAUAUGGAGAACACAGAUUCUGAAUCCUUAUUAAUCUGGCUGUAUCAAAUUUUCAUAGACCAGCAUAUGACAGACAAAAGAAAAGAGGAGAAAGGGGAGGGAGAUUUGGUAAAUGGUAGAUUAGCAUUUUAUCUUCAAAAUGGGAUGCAAUCCCAGACGACAGAGACUAGAUUGUUGGCAAUAAAAGUGACAUGUGCCUGCAGCUUCAAUUCCAUAAUCAUAUUUUUCAGAAUUGUUCCUAUCUUUGAGGUCACUCUGUACUGUGAGGAUUUGUGAGCGCAGAGCUCUAAGGAACUUGGUUGCCUUUUGAUCAUGAUGGGUUGUUGAGGUAUGGGUAUGGAGAAGCAUUUCGUCAUACUUUAGCAUUUGGUAAAGACUGUAGCUUAAUUAAGCCUAUAGUGUAAGCUGGAAUUGCCAGUCUCAAUAAAUGAAUUAAACAUCAAUUUUAAUAAUAAAAAAUAAAUACAGCUACAGUGUACAAAAAUAAACCAGGUUCACACGAUGGACCUAUCAUAAAUAAUGUUUUUUUCAUCUACAGAUGUCUUAACCUUUUUGUUCUUGCUAGAGUCAUACUCUUCAAACACACACAGAUGGGAAAACGACACCGAGAUCAACAUAAUGAUUCAAUGCCUACGAAAGAAUUAAACAACAUUUUACACAAACAUCUGCAUUUGUACACAAACAUCCUCCCCCACGUUUACACAAACAUCCUCCCCUAUGUUUUACACAAACAUCUGCAUUUGUACAAGUCAAUUUUGCCUAUUUUUGACACUAGGCGGGGACUCAUGCUGUCUCACAGCUCUUGUUUA